rnacentral:ncRNA from 1 species
AUUUGAGUUAGAGGUUGCAUCUUCAAAGAGUAAUUAUUCAGAAGCCAAAUGGGGCGUAUGUUGAAAUAAUGAAAGGUGGAAAUGCCGAAACUUGUAUUGACCAUUUACAAUGCGAGUUGGGACAGUUUUCGAAAGGAACUGGACUGUCACAUGUGUGAUGUGCUACCUAUAUA